rnacentral:rRNA from 1 species
AUUGAACGCUGGCGGCAGGCCUAACACAUGCAAGUCGAGCGAGAAAGGUCUUCGGACUGAGUAGAGCGGCGGACGGGUGAGUAACGCGUAGGAAUUUGCCCAGUAGUGGGGGACAACUCGGGGAAACUCGAGCUAAUACCGCAUACGCCCUAUGGGGGAAAGCAGGGGAUCUUCGGACCUUGCGCUAUUGGAUAAGCCUGCGUUGGAUUAGCUAGUUGGUGGGGUAAGGGCCCACCAAGGCGACAAUCCGUAGCUGGUCUGAGAGGAUGAUCAGCCACACUGGGACUGAGACACGGCCCAAACUCCUACGGGAGGCAGCAGUGGGGAAUAUUGGACAAUGGGGGCAACCCUGAUCCAGCCAUGCCGCGUGUGUGAAGAAGGCCUUAGGGUUGUAAAGCACUUUCAGUAGGGAGGAAAAGCUAAUGGUUAAUACUCAUUAGCCCUGACGUUACCUACAGAAAAAGCACCGGCAAACUCCGUG